UAGUAACGGCGAGUGAAGCGGCAACAGCUCAAAUUUGAAAUCUGGCCCUCGGGUCCGAAUUGUAAUUUGUAGAGGAUGAUUUUGGUGCGGUAUCUUCCGAGUUCCUUGGAACAGGACGCCUUAGAGGGUGAGAGCCCCGUACGGUUGAAUGCCUAGCCUCUGUAAAUCUCCUUCGACGAGUCGAGUAGUUUGGGAAUGCUGCUCUAAAUGGGAGGUAAAUUUCUUCUAAAGCUAAAUAUUGGCCAGAGACCGAUAGCGCACAAGUAGAGUGAUCGAAAGAUGAAAAGCACUUUGAAAAGAGGGUUAAAUAGCACGUGAAAUUGUUGAAAGGGAAGGAUUUGUGACCAGACUUUUUCUGGGCGGAUCAUCCGGGGUUCUCUCCGGUGCACUUUGCCCAGUAAAGGCCAGCAUCGAUUUUCGGCGGCGGAUAAAAGCAGUGGGAAUGUGGCUCCCUACGGGGAGUGUUAUAGCCCAUUGUAUAAUACGCUGCUGGGGAUCGAGGUACGCGCUUCUGCAAGGAUGCUGGCGAAAGGCCAAGCAAUCACCCGUCUUAA
rnacentral:rRNA from 1 species